rnacentral:rRNA from 1 species
CCUACGGGGUGCUGCAGUGGGGAAUAUUGGACAAUGGGCGAAAGCCUGAUCCAGCCAUGCCGCGUGUGUGAAGAAGGCCUUCGGGUUGUAAAGCACUUUCAGUGGGGAAGAAAGCCUUGGGGCUAAUACCCUCGAGGAAGGACAUCACCCACAGAAGAAGCACCGGCUAACUCCGUGCCAGCAGCCGCGGUAAUACGGAGGGUGCGAGCGUUAAUCGGAAUUACUGGGCGUAAAGCGCGCGUAGGCGGUCUGAUAAGCCGGUUGUGAAAGCCCCGGGCUCAACCUGGGAACGGCAUCCGGAACUGUCAGGCUAGAGUGCAGGAGAGGAAGGUAGAAUUCCCGGUGUAGCGGUGAAAUGCGUAGAGAUCGGGAGGAAUACCAGUGGCGAAGGCGGCCUUCUGGACUGACACUGACGCUGAGGUGCGAAAGCGUGUGUAGCAAACAGGAUUAGAUACCUAGUGUC